rnacentral:rRNA from 1 species
GGCAGCAGUGGGGGAUAUUGCACAAUGGGCGAAAGCCUGAUGCAGCGACGCCUCGUGGGGGAUGAAGGCCUUCGGGUUGUAAACUUCUUUUGCUCUGAACAAGGCAUGCCUUUGGGGUGUGUUGAGUGUAGGGGUUGAUUAGCGCCGGCUAACUACGUGCCAGCAGCCGCGGUAAUACGUAGGGCGCGAGCGUUGUCCGGAAUUAUUGGGCGUAAAGGGCUUGUAGGUGGCUGGUUGCGUCUGUCGUGAAAGCUCAUGGCUUAACUGUGGGUUUGCGGUGGGUACGGGCUGGCUUGAGUGCAGUAGGGGAGGCUGGAAUUCCUGGUGUAGCGGUGGAAUGCGCAGAUAUCAGGAGGAAUACCGGUGGCGAAGGCGGGUCUCUGGGCUGUUACUGACGCUGAGGAGCGAAAGCGUGGGGAGCGAACAGGAUUAGAUACCCUGGUAGUCCAUGCUGUAAACGUUGGGAACUGGGUGUGGGGGGCUUUUUUGUCUUCUGCGUCGUAGCUAACGCGUUAAGUUCCCCGCCUGGGGAGUACGGUCGCAAGGCUAAAACUCAAAUGAAUUGACGG